UACAGAGGGGGCAAGCGUUAUUCGGAAUUAUUGGGCGUAAAGGGCGCGUAGGCGGCUAUGCAAGUGACGGGUGAAAUCCCUCGGCUUAACCGAGGAGCUGCCUGUCAGACUGUGUGGCUUGAGACCGGGAGAGGUGAGUGGAAUUCCCAGUGUAGCGGUGAAAUGCGUAGAUAUUGGGAGGAACACCAGUGGCGAAGGCGGCUCACUGGACCGGAACUGACGCUGAGGCGCGAAAGCGUGGGGAGCAAACAGG
rnacentral:rRNA from 1 species